CGCCGCCGCGAGGGCGCUGCCGGCGCUCAGUCUCGCGCCGACCGUCCCAGCGCUCGGACGCUCGCUUCUUUAUGCGAUGCGAUCAGAAAAAUAAACUAGUUUUGUUCCGGAACCACCGACGUGCCCGUGUGUCGCCGAUUUAACGUGUUUGUGGACUUAUAUUGUGAACGUGAUUUUUAUCUAACGUGAACGAUAAACUGUUCGGAUUGACCGGGAGCGGUUGAGUUGUGUGGAAACAAAGGUUUACAUUGUCGGAAGGUGAACGCUCUUCGUUGGAGCCGCACAGAUCGUGAAAUUUCGUAAAGCUGCAGCGUCGUAAGAGACGUGGCGCCGCGGUUGCCCAUCAUGCAUUAGAUAUCGCACAAACGAUAUCGAAACGUAAGUAGCAGCACAGCUGAGACCUAAUUUGAAAAAUGAAAAACGUAUGUAAACAUAAAUUUUCUAAGAAAUUUAAUAUAAACUGAGGUUAUGCUAAUUUGUAGUAAUGAGAGAUGUUAAGAAACAAAACCUCGUCAGGAGUGCGCUAUUACAACUGGAACGUUAGAAAUUACUUACAAACCGGACCAUUUUGACGGCUUCCACAAAGUCCUUGUUUAUUAUUAUUUUUUUAUAUAAAAUCAACGGAUCUAGAAAGUAUCUCUGAUACUUAAAAUGUUAGACAUAGUUCAUGUUAUUUUUCGAAUUUUAUCUUGGUUUUUUCUAUUAUAAUUUUCUCGUGACGUUUCGAAGACUGAACAAAAUUCGCGACAAAACCCGAAAACUAGGUUUAUUUUGAUAACUAUAGGACUCAAUUUUAUUUACCAUAUGAAAAUAGUUAAUUUAAUAUUCCAUAUGUUACUUCUAAUUUUAAGCUUAUUGCGAAGCUUUUAUUCCUACAGAAUCCCAGGCCCCACAUUCGUAUUAGCAAAGUUGAGAAAAUUCGAAAUAAUUGAAGAGUAACUUUUGGAUUUUUUGUCGGCUUAUUAUAUUUUUUUCCGUCCAAAGUAUUUGCAGAUGUUCACAACUUUAGGUGUUUAUCCGACUUUCAAUUAUCUGUUAAUUAAAUUUUGGAAAUUAAGUAAAUUCUUUUGCGAGUUGGCGGGCAUUCUUUCGUUAUUGUUUUCAACGGCUCUUGGGAGAUAUAAAGUUCCUUUUCUAAUUUAAACUUCAUGUCUACAUUUUGUUCGAUUUUUGCGUUUUAAAUGCGGGUAGAUGUUUGCUGUUUAUGAAAAUAAGCAAAAAACUGGAUUACUUGUUAGAAGAUAAUGUAUUCUUUAUUUGAUUGAUGCUGAUAAAUACUAUGUUAGCACUAAUAAAUUUAUUAAUCAAAAUACGGCACCAACUCUCCAAACAAAAAAGUACUCUCAUGCUCUAAGAUACGAUGCUAGAUUCAAGCAAGCAGAAAAUUAAUAUCCAAACAGAACAGGCCAAGCGGAAUGUUCAACCAGUUCCUUUCAAAUGUGGUUUAUUCACCGCUAAGAAGAUUACAGCUGAAAAAUCUGAACCUUUCAAGGUGGCAAAACGAGAAACACCUAUAAUCUCCUUAAUGUUUCUUGGACAAGUAUUUUCAAAGGCUUUGCCCUCAUUCAGCGUAGUUUAAAGCGAUGGACAAGGUUCGCAUCUGAAAAAAUACAGAUAAUAAAAUUAAGACCUUAUUCAAUUGAUACGGAGUUGAAAAUUUUUUGGAGUUUAAUUUUAAAAUAAUUUGUUCCGUCAUAGGAAUAUUCGACCGACAAUCCGCUAAAUUAUUAAUUAAUUAUUUUAAACUCUAUUUGUAUUAUGUAAGGUCGAUGUUAUCAAAAUCAGUAGCGUGCAAUCCCUCUCAUGACUACGUUGACCUUAGUCACCCUCCGUUUGGUCCGAGGGGUGUAGAAAGAGAGACAGGGGUGGAGGAACUGCACAUGGCGAAGUCCCACCAUGACUCAUAUCCGAGUUAUAUUAGUUGGAACAAUACUAUUGUUAGAUAUGUUUAAUAUUGCAGAUUUGUUAUGAUUUAUAUAUGUUGAAUUUAUUGAUGAUGUUGGUUUCAUUGAACUUCUAAAUACUAUAUACGAUACGACACUGUUAUAAGGUCGUGGGUUCAAAUCCCUGGUCGGACAGUGAUAUAAGGUUUUUCUGCUCAGUGUCAGUCCGGAGUUUGGAAUUGGCGCCCGAAAUGUUGAUAGAGUUACCUCCUAUCACAACAUGGGACGAAACGAACACAGCUAAAAGUGCGUGCCUAUCAGGGUAAAGACGUGAUGUUUGUUUUUUCGUGCGUUGAUUUUUAUGUUAUUUUGAGUAAAUUUUCUUAUCUUAACUUUUUAUGGCGGUUUAGGACUCUAUCACUUAAAGAUUUACGAAAAAUAAUAACACUGCCCUUAAAAUAAAAAUACAUCAUAAUGAAAGUUAUAAAGGUGAACAAACUAAUUUUCUUCAUUUCUACUUUGACAUUACAAUUGACCCAAACUGAAAGGCAUAAUUACGCCACUCAUUCCUGAAAACUUUCAUCGCACAGUAAUUGAACCUACGACUUUGCGUGGCCAAUGUUUUGUAUCCGUAUUUGAACAAAUUAUGUGAAGUCUGAACGAAUAGAGUUUUUAAAAAAAAGCAUGUUUUAUUCCCCAUUUACUUAUGGCUCCAUUACUUAAUUGAGAGGGUUCUUGACAUUAGUCAAGCGAUAACAUAUGAGAGGCUGUAGAACUGUGGUUGUAGUCUUAGUUCGAUUCUCAGAUCGGACAACACACUGUUUCCUAAUAUCAUUUGGAGCCACCCGAAAACUUGACAUCAGGCAGGCACGAAUGUUAGACAGUCAGCCCAACUAAAUCGUUUUGAUAAUGAAAGCAACACACUGUUUUCUAACUACAUUUGGAGCCAAAAAUUUUACAUACAUACAUACAUACAUAAAAUCACGCAUUUAUCCCCGAAGGGGUAUGCAGAGGCGCAACUAGGGCACCCACUUUUCGCCAAGUAUGUUCCGUCCCAUGAUGUGAUAGGGGACGAGCCUAUCGCCAUAUCGGGCACAAAUUCCAGACUCCGGGCUGAUACUGAGUAGAAAAACCCAAAUAUCACUUUGCCCGACCCGGGAUUCGAACCCAGGACCUCAGAGCGCUAUUGUACCGGACAUGCAAUACAACUACGCCACCGAGGCAGUCACAAAUUUUACUUCAAGCAAUGUCAUGAAACUAGACAGUCAGUCCUUAAAGCCUAACAUAACUAUUAGCUUGUAAAAUAUUAUUUGAUGCAUGCUCUAUUUACCUAUAAUUGCUUUGUUACAUUAUGAUUUGUAAUUGGCAUGUUUUUUUGUUAAAUUAUAAUACAAUCAUUAGUAAAUAAAUAAAUAACAAAAGCCUAAUCCUGAUAAUGAUUGAAAAAGUCUUCAAUGAAUAAGAUAAAACCAACUUGAAGAUUCUUCAAAACAUUUACAAACGAACCUCAGCAAUCAAACGUCCCAACUUUACCAAUUUCACUAACAGCAGCACAUAAAUGGACUACACAAUAGUAAACCACCCUCGUCGGUCCUCAGACCUCUGCCGGCACGUGACUAGCGACUGAUUAAACACGAUUUACCUUCUGCACAGAUGAAAAAUUAGGGACGAAUUCAAUGGUAUAUAGUCUAUGUAUAGAUUUAGGUUAUUUUAAUGAUAUUGUAAAGAUGAAUUUGGUUGUCUAAAUAGGUGGUAUAUAUUUCUGUGAAGAAGUCUGUGUUAUUGGAAUUUGAGCUUUGUAGUGUAGGACUGUAAACAUUACACUUGUUUAAUAGUUUCAAGCAUUUUUGAUUGUUUUGCAAAAUCUGAUAAUUUAAGUUUACGAAUAAAAAUCAUACAUAUAUGAAAGAAAAAACAUUAUUUUUACAUAAUAAUCCUGACCUAUAACAUGCCCUUGAAAAAUAUACACGAACAUACCCGCGUGCAAAACAGUGUAUAAAAUAAAAAUAUUUAAUAACACACAUACAUACGUAAAUCCACCCUCGUUCGUUCCCUUCACUAAAAU
rnacentral:misc_RNA from 1 species